CUCGCAGCGCGCGUGUGUAUCUCCAUGUACAGUGAAGGGUGUGUGCGCGUCUGACGACGUAUAUUCCCACCUCGUACGCAUCUCGCACGGUGGUUUUGGGUCCGGCCGGACCACGUGAGGCUCACGCGGCGCUCAUCGUAUAUGUAGGGGCCUGGCCUAAACCCUUCUCCCUCCUCUCCAGACACCAGCCCGCCCAGCACCAUGGCGAUGGCGUCCACCGGAGCCGUCCCCUGCUCGGUCCUCCUGCUGCUCCUCCUCUGCGCGUCCCCGCUCUGCCAGGUC
rnacentral:lncRNA from 1 species